AUUGAACGCUGGCGGAAUGCUUUACACAUGCAAGUCGAACGGCAGCACGGACUUCGGUCUGGUGGCGAGUGGCGAACGGGUGAGUAAUGUAUCGGAACGUGCCCAGUCGUGGGGGAUAACGUAGUGAAAAUUACGCUAAUACCGCAUACGAUCUAUGGAUGAAAGCGGGGGAUCGCAAGACCUCGCGCGAUUGGAGCGGCCGAUAUCAGAUUAGGUAGUUGGUGGGGGAAAGGCCCACCAAGCCAACGAUCUGUAGCUGGUCUGAGAGGACGACCGGCACCACUGGAACUGGGACACGGUCCAGACUCCUACGGGAGUCAGCAGUGGGGAAUUUUGGACAAUGGGCGAAAGCCUGAUCCAGCCAUUCCGCGUGCAGGAUGAAGGCCCUCGGGUUGUAAACUGCUUUUGUACAGAACGAAAAGGUUUCUACUAAUACUAGGAGCUCAUGACGGUACUGUAAGAAUAAGCACCGGCUAACUACGUGCCAGCCGCCGCCGUAA
rnacentral:rRNA from 1 species